UUGGCCCUGAAUCAAGGCCAUCAGUUUGCUGAAGCUGUUGGUUUCAAGCAGGUGCCUAAAAAAUGUCUUUCUCUGGUCUGUUGGCCUUUCCAGAAAUUUUUAAAUGUUAUGGUUAGUUCAUUAGAAAGAAACAUCU